rnacentral:rRNA from 1 species
GCGGCGGACGGGUGAGUAAUGUCUGGGAAACUGCCUGAUGGAGGGGGAUAACUACUGGAAACGGUAGCUAAUACCGCAUAACGUCUACGGACCAAAGUGGGGGACCUUCGGGCCUCACGCCAUCAGAUGUGCCCAGAUGGGAUUAGCUAGUAGGUGGGGUAAUGGCUCACCUAGGCGACGAUCCCUAGCUGGUCUGAGAGGAUGACCAGCCACACUGGAACUGA